rnacentral:rRNA from 1 species
AGCAGCCGCGGUAAUUCCAGCUCCAAUAGCGUAUAUUAAAGUUGUUGCAGUUAAAGAGCUCGUAGUUGAAUUUCGGGAUUGACGUGAUGGUCAUGCCUUAAGGGGUAUGAACUGUUGCUGUUGAUUUCUCACCUUCUGGAGAAACUUGAUGUCCUUUAUUGGGUGUCUUGCGGAUCCAGGACCUUUACCUUGAAAAAAUUAGAGUGUUUAAAGCAGGCAUUUUUGCUCGAAUACAUUAGCAUGGAAUAAUAGAAUAGGACGGCAUGGUUCUAUUUUGUUGGUUUCUAGGAUCACCGUAAUGAUUAAUAGGGAUAGUUGGGGGCAUUAGUAUUCAAUUGUCAGAGGUGAAAUUCUUGGAUUUAUUGAAGACUAACUACUGCGAAAGCAUUUGCCAAGGAUGUUUUCAUUAAUCAAGAACGAAAGUUAGGGGAUCGAAGACGAUCAGAUACC